rnacentral:rRNA from 1 species
AUUGAACGCUGGCGGCAGGCCUAACACAUGCCAGUCGAGCGGAUGAAGGGAGCUUGCUCCUGGAUUCAGCGGCGGACGGGUGAGUAAUGCCUAGGAAUCUGCCUGGUAGUGGGGGAUAACGUCCGGAAACGGGCGCUAAUACCGCAUACGUCCUGAGGGAGAAAGUGGGGAUCUUCGGACCUCACGCUAUCAGAUGAGCCUAGGCCGGAUUAGCUAGUUGGUGGGGUAAAGGCCUACCAAGGCGACGAUCCGUAACUGGUCUGAGAGGAUGAUCAGUCACACUGGAACUGAGACACGGUCCAGACUCCUACGGGAGGCAGCAGUGGGGAAUAUUGGACAAUGGGCGAAAGCCUGAUCCAGCCAUGCCGCGUGUGUGAAGAAGGUCUUCGGAUUGUAAAGCACUUUAAGUUGGGAGGAAGGGCAGUAAGUUAAUACCUUGCUGUUUUGACGUUACCAACAGAAUAAGCACCGGCUAACUUCGUG